AAGACCUUGCGCUUUUGGAGCGGCCGAUGCCUGAUUAGCUUGUUGGUAAGGUAAAAGCUUACCAAGGCUUCGAUCAGUAGCUGGUCUGAGAGGACGACCAGCCAUACUGGGACUGAGACACGGCCCAGACUCCUACGGGAGGCAGCAGUGGGGAAUUUUGGACAAUGGGGGAAACCCUGAUCCAGCCAUGCCGCGUGAGUGAAGAAGGCCUUCGGGUUGUAAAGCUCUUUCAGCCGGAACGAAACGGUUACGGUUAAUACCCGUGAUUACUGACGGUACCGGAAGAAGAAGCACCGGCUAACUACGUGCCAGCAGCCGCGGUAAUACGUAGGGUGCGAGCGUUAAUCGGAAUUACUGGGCGUAAAGCGUGCGCAGGUGGUUUUGUAAGUCAGAUGUGAAAGCCCCGGGCUCAACCUGGGAACU
rnacentral:rRNA from 1 species